rnacentral:rRNA from 1 species
UACGUAGGGGGCAAGCGUUGUCCGGAAUUACUGGGCGUAAAGAGCUCGUAGGUGGUUUGUCGCGUUGUCCGUGAAAACUCACAACUCAAUUGUGGGCGUGCGGGCGAUACGGGCAGACUGGAGUACUGCAGGGGAGACUGGAAUUCCUGGUGUAGCGGUGGAAUGCGCAGAUAUCAGGAGGAACACCGGUGGCGAAGGCGGGUCUCUGGGCAGUAACUGACGCUGAGGAGCGAAAGCGUGGGGAGCGAACAGG